rnacentral:rRNA from 1 species
CGCCUAAGGUGGGACAGAUGAUUGGGGUGAAGUCGUAACAAGGUAGCCGUAUCGGAAGGUGCGGCUGGAUCACCUCCUUUCUAAGGAA